rnacentral:rRNA from 1 species
AUGAUACCAAGAUGUUGUAGGGUGGAACCCUAUGUGGAGAUCUUUCACGAAUUGGAGGGAAAAUCCCCAAGAACAAGAAGCACACAAAGGGGGAAGCAAGAGGAACACUCAAGAACAAGUCCAAUCACACAUCCACUAGACCAACAAACACACAAGAUCCACAAGGUACAUGAACAAUCAAAGGGAAACAAGAUACAUGGUAGAGUUCAUCCCAAAUCCUAUGAAGGAGAUGAGGGCUUGAUGAUUCACUUGGGGAAUCCUUCUCCCUUAGGAGGGCUUGAUGAUCCUAUGGAUCCUUAUCCUUUAGGAGGUCUUGCACUCCAAUGGAGUCUUCUCCCUCAAGAGGAGGGCUUGAUCAUCCUAGGGAUGCUUCUCCCUUAG